rnacentral:rRNA from 1 species
ACAUGUACACGGGGAAUCCCGCGAUCGCGGUCAGGCGAUGGUUGACCUGAUGGCACAGUAUGAGCAGCACGGUUUGCAGCUCGACAGUCGCGAACUUCCCGAUCAUCUGCCGCUGUAUCUGGAAUACACAGGUAACAUCAAAUCGUACCCCAAACCGACACAGGUGGUCAGGUAGAGAAUACCAAGGCGCUUGAGAGAACUCGGGUGAAGGAACUAGGCAAAAUGGUGCCGUAACUUCGGGAGAAGGCACGCUGA